rnacentral:rRNA from 1 species
GACGAACGCUGGCGGCGUGCUUAACACAUGCAAGUCGAACGAAGUGGCGAACGGGUGAGUAACGCGUAAUCAACCUGCCCUUCAGAGGGGGACAACAGUUGGAAACGACUGCUAAUACCGCAUACUGAAGGUGGGGAUUGCGUUUGAUGAGCUAGUUGGCGGGGUAACGGCCCACCAGGGCGAUGAUCAGUAGCCGGUCUGAGAGGAAGAACGGGCACAUUGGGACUGAGGCACGGCCCAGACUCCUACGGGAGGCAGCAGUGGGGAAUCUGCCGCAAUGGACGAAAGUCUGACGGAGAAAAGCCGCGUGAGUGAUGACGGCCUUCGGGUUGUAAAGCUCUGUUAAUCGGGACGCGGUACCGGAAUAGAAAGCCACGGCUAACUACGUGCCAGCAGCCGCGGUAAUUC